AUUGAACGCUGGCGGCAUGCCUUACACAUGCAAGUCGAACGGUAACAGGUCUUCGGAUGCUGACGAGUGGCGAACGGGUGAGUAAUACAUCGGAACGUGCCUAGUAGUGGGGGAUAACUACUCGAAAGAGUGGCUAAUACCGCAUGAGAUCUACGGAUGAAAGCAGGGGAUCGCAAGACCUUGUGCUACUAGAGCGGCCGAUGGCAGAUUAGGUAGUUGGUGGGAUAAAAGCUUACCAAGCCGACGAUCUGUAGCUGGUCUGAGAGGACGAUCAGCCACACGGGGACUGAGACACGGCCCAGACUCCUACGGGAGGCAGCAGUGGGGAAUUUUGGAAAAUGGGCGAAAGCCUGAUCCAGCAAUGCCGGGUGAAGGAGGAAGGCCUUCGGGUUGUAAACUUCUUUUGUACGGAACGAAAAGCCCCGGGUUAAUACCCUGGGGUCAUGACGGUACCGAAAGAAUAAGCACCGGCUAACUACGUGCCAGCCGCCGCCGUAA
rnacentral:rRNA from 1 species